rnacentral:rRNA from 1 species
AUGACUAGGGAUAACCUUAGGAAGAGACACACCAUCAAACCCCUUGAUUGUGUUUACUGCUUGGAACAAGAGUCUUGUUCUCACCUAUUUUUGAAUGUAUAGUUGCUAAACAUCCUGGCCCACAUUGAGGAAUAUUUUUCUAGUCAGAUUGGCUCAUCCUUCGAAUCUGUCGCCAGAUUCUGGAUUGCUACCAAAAAGUGCUCAAUUUUAAAUACUGUUAGCUCAGCUAUCCUUUGGUGCCUCUGGAAAUAUAGAAAUGCUAUGAUUUUCAGUAACACCUCCUGGAUUUCCAUUCCGCGGGUCUUGAGGUUGAUCAGGAACAUGGUGAGGAACUGGGCGAUUCUUUCCUCCGGAUCGGACAAGGACAACUUGAUGAGCUUCGUGGAAACCCUAACAAGAUCCCUCCAGAAACCGUUGGAGAUCACUUGUGGCUGA